rnacentral:rRNA from 1 species
AAGGUUUCCGUAGGUGAACCUGCGGAAGGAUCAUUAAAUUGAUUACAAUGCAAGGUUUCAGAUUUGAAAUGGUGCGUGACAAUAGGAAUAACGCGCGGUGUUUCUCCGAUGCUGAAUUACGCACGACAUUUUUCCAUUCGUGAAUCAUGCAUGACGUUUUUCCAUUGGUGAAACCACGCUUGCAAGACGUUUUUCCAAUGACUUAACUGUAAAAAAACACGCACUGCUUCGGCUGUUGCCCUGCAUUGUUGCCAAUUUCAACACAAUCUGCGUACCUUUCCUGUUGCUUCCGUGGGAUGGAGCUGUGCCUGAUAGCUCUGGCCAAGUUGGUUGGGGUUCUUGGCAGCGGCUUUAGCUGGCCGGGUUGGCUGGUUCCUGCGGAAGGUAAUUUUCAAAUCAUUUGCUUUUAUUUUGCCUUCUGUCUGAGACAUGUUUAUAAUCGUUAAAACUUUCAACAACGGAUCUCUUGGUUCUCGCAUCGAUGAAGAACGCAGCGAAAUGCGAUAAGUAGUGUGAAUUGCAGAAUUCAGUGAAUCAUCGAAUCUUUGAACGCACAUUGCGCCUCCUGGUAUUCCGGGAGGCAUGCCUGUUCGAGCGUCAUGAAAGAAAGUUCAAGCAAGGUUUCUUGCUUGGUUUUGAAGGUUGAGCGUUGCCUUUGUGCUCGUUUAACUUUGAAAUUGAGAGGCGGACUGCUUCGUGUUCCACUAGGCGUUAUAGGAUAACUUUUUCGCUUGGACUCGUGAGGAUGUUCUGUUCUAAACCUCCUUCAUUUAUUCAUGGUUGACCUCGGAUCAGGUAGGGAUACCCGCUGAACUUAAGCAUAUCA